rnacentral:rRNA from 1 species
UACAGAGGGGGCAAGCGUUGUUCGGAAUUACUGGGCGUAAAGGGCGCGUAGGCGGCCUGCUAAGUCGAACGUGAAAUCCCUGGGCUCAACCCAGGAACUGCGUCCGAUACUGGUUGGCUUGAAUCCGGGAGAGGGAUGCGGAAUUCCAGGUGUAGCGGUGAAAUGCGUAGAUAUCUGGAGGAACACCGGUGGCGAAGGCGGCAUCCUGGACCGGCAUUGACGCUGAGGCGCAAAAGCCAGGGGAGCAAACGGG